rnacentral:rRNA from 1 species
CCUACGGGUGGCUGCAGUGAGGAAUAUUGGUCAAUGGGCGCAAGCCUGAACCAGCCAAGUCGCGUGAGGGAAGACGGCCCUACGGGUUGUAAACCUCUUUUGCCGGGGAGCAAGCCUGAGCACGUGUGCCCAGGCGGAGAGUACCCGGAGAAAAAGCAUCGGCUAACUCCGUGCCAGCAGCCGCGGUAAUACGGAGGAUGCGAGCGUUAUCCGGAUUUAUUGGGGUUAAAGGGUGCGCAGGCGGGCUGUUAAGGCGGCGGUAAAAAUUCAGGGCUCCACCCUGUCCGGCCGUCGGAACUGGCAGUGUUGAGUGGGCGAGGAGGAUGCGGAAUGCGUGGUGUAGCGGUGAAAUGCAUAGAUAUCACGCAGAACGGCGAUUGCGAAGGAAGCAUACCGGCGCCCAAAUGACGCUGAGGCACGAAAGCGUGGGGAUCGAACAGGAUUAGAUACCCCUGUAGUC